GACGAACGCUGGCGGCGUGCUUAACACAUGCAAGUCGAACGGAAAGGCCCUGCUUUUGUGGGGUGCUCGAUUGGCGAACGGGGGAGUAACACGUGAGUAACCUGCCCUUGACUUUGGGAUAACUUCAGGAAACUGGGGCUAAUACCGGAUAGGAGAUCCUGCUGCGUGGUGGGGGUUGGAAAGUUUCGGCGGUUGGGGAUGGACUCGCGGCUUAUCAGCUUGUUGGUGGGGUAGUGGCUUACCAAGCCUUUGAAGGGUAGCCGGCCUUAGAGGGUGACCGGCCACAAUGCGCCUGCGGGACGCACCAGUCUCCUACGUGAGGCAGUGGGCGGGAGCAUUGCACAGUGGGCCCGCGUCUGUUGCAGCAGCGCUGCGUUCGUGAUGCCGUCCUUUGGGUUGUAAACAGCUUUCGCCUGUGACGAAGCGUUAGUGACGGUAACGAAUAAAGAAGCACCGGCUAACUACGUG
rnacentral:rRNA from 1 species